rnacentral:rRNA from 1 species
GAUGAACGCUGGCGGCGUGCCUAAUACAUGCAAGUCGAGCGAACGGACGAGAAGCUUGCUUCUCUGAUGUUAGCGGCGGACGGGUGAGUAACACGUGGAUAACCUACCUAUAAGACUGGGAUAACUUCGGGAAACCGGAGCUAAUACCGGAUAAUAUUUUGAACCGCAUGGUUCAAAAGUGAAAGACGGUCUUGCUGUCACUUAUAGAUGGAUCCGCGCUGCAUUAGCUAGUUGGUAAGGUAACGGCUUACCAAGGCAACGAUGCAUAGCCGACCUGAGAGGGUGAUCGGCCACACUGGAACUGAGACACGGUCCAGACUCCUACGGGAGGCAGCAGUAGGGAAUCUUCCGCAAUGGGCGAAAGCCUGACGGAGCAACGCCGCGUGAGUGAUGAAGGUCUUCGGAUCGUAAAACUCUGUUAUUAGGGAAGAACAUAUGUGUAAGUAACUGUGCACAUCUUGACGGUACCUAAUCAGAAAGCCACGGCUAACUACGUGCCAGCAGCCGCGGUAAUACGUAGGUGGCAAGCGUUAUCCGGAAUUAUUGGGCGUAAAGCGCGCGUAGGCGGUUUUUUAAGUCUGAUGUGAAAGCCCACGGCUCAACCGUGGAGGGUCAUUGGAAACUGGAAAACUUGAGUGCAGAAGAGGAAAGUGGAAUUCCAUGUGUAGCGGUGAAAUGCGCAGAGAUAUGGAGGAACACCAGUGGCGAAGGCGACUUUCUGGUCUGUAACUGACGCUGAUGUGCGAAAGCGUGGGGAUCAAACAGGAUUAGAUACCCUGGUAGUCCACGCCGUAAACGAUGAGUGCUAAGUGUUAGGGGGUUUCCGCCCCUUAGUGCUGCAGCUAACGCAUUAAGCACUCCGCCUGGGGAGUACGACCGCAAGGUUGAAGCUCAAAGGAAUUGACGGGGACCCGCACAAGCGGUGGAGCAUGUGGUUUAAUUCGAAGCAACGCGAAGAACCUUACCAAAUCUUGACAUCCUUUGACAACUCUAGAGAUAGAGCCUUCCCCUUCGGGGGACAAAGUGACAGGUGGUGCAUGGUUGUCGCCAGCUCGUGUCGUGAGAUGUUGGGUUAAGUCCCGCAACGAGCGCAACCCUUAAGCUUAGUUGCCAUCAUUAAGUUGGGCACUCUAAGUUGACUGCCGGUGACAAACCGGAGGAAGGUGGGGAUGACGUCAAAUCAUCAUGCCCCUUAUGAUUUGGGCUACACACGUGCUACAAUGGACAAUACAAAGGGCAGCGAAACCGCGAGGUCAAGCAAAUCCCAUAAAGUUGUUCUCAGUUCGGAUUGUAGUCUGCAACUCGACUACAUGAAGCUGGAAUCGCUAGUAAUCGUAGAUCAGCAUGCUACGGUGAAUACGUUCCCGGGUCU